rnacentral:rRNA from 1 species
ACAAGCCUGAGAAACGGCUAGUAGGACUAAGGUCUGCAGCAGGCGCGAAACUUACACAAUGCUAGAUUUCUGAAAGAUAGCGAUGUAGUGAAGACAAAUAACGAUGUACUAGUUUUUAACAAACUUGUACAAUUGGAAUGAGACGACUCUAAACCAGUCAGUCGAGUAACAAAUGGAGGGCAAGUCUGGUGCCAGCAGCCGCGGUAAUUCCAGCUCCAUUAGCAUACAUUAAAGUUGUUGCGGUUAAAAAGCUCGUAGUUGAAUUUUGGACGGGCUCUCGUGGGAUGCGGCCGUUAAAGGCUGCGUCGUCGGCUUCGGCCGCGCGUAGCUGGCCGUAUCUCCCACUUGGGGCUCGUUGUUUCGUCACUUAAUCGAGUGCGAAGCGGGUCGGCGCGGACCACGGCGCCCUCCGGGGCGCCCCCACCACCACGUGUUUACCUUGAAAAAAUUAGAGUGCUCAGAGCGCGCAUGUGGGGUGUAAAACCCCCUUUAUGCUUGAAUAGUGUUGCGUGGAAUAAUAAAAUACGGCCUCGGUUCUAUUCUGGUGGUCUUAUAAAACAACAAACAAUUUGGGUGGGGCACUAAACGGCUCCGUGGACGGCGUGGCUUUGGCGCGCUCGUGGUGUGUGGGGCCUAAAAAUCUCAGCGUCAUAGCGAGCCGGCGUCUCUUAGCCCCCCCUGUGCGGGACAGCUCUCACCCAACUGAGGCAAUGGUUAAAAGAAAUAGUCGCGGCGGCAUCAGUACUGCAUCGUGAGAG